UGCAAGUCUAGGGGGCGUAGCAAUACGUCACCGGCGGACGGGUGCGUAACGCGUGGGAAUGUACCUAUUGGUUCGGAACAACUCAGGGAAACUUGAGCUAAUACCGAAUGUGCCCGAAAGGGGAAAGAUUUAUCGCCAAUAGAUCAGCCCGCGUCCGAUUAGCUAGUUGGUGAGGUAAAGGCUCACCAAGGCGACGAUCGGUAGCUGUUCUGAGAGGAAGAUCAGCCACACUGGGACUGAGACACGGCCCAGACUCCUACGGGAGGCAGCAGUUGGGAAUCUUGGACAAUGGGGGAAACCCUGAUCCAGCCAUGCCGCGUGAGUGAUGAAGGCCUUCGGGUUGUAAAGCUCUUUUACCCGGGAAGAUAAUGACUGUACCGGGAGAAUAAGCUCCGGCUAACUUCGUGCCAGCAGCCGCGGUAAUACGAAGGGGGCUAGCGUUGUUCGGAAUUACUGGGCGUAAAGCGCGCGCAGGUGGCCAUCCAAGUCAGUGGUGAAAGCCCGGAGCUCAACUCCGGAACUGCCAUUGAAACUGUUUGGCUCGAGGACGAGAGAGGUGAGUGGAAUUUCCGGUGUAGCGGUGAAAUGCGUAGAUAUCGGAAGGAACACCUGUGGCGAAAGCGGCUCACUGGACCAUUACUGACGCUGAUGCACGAAAG
rnacentral:rRNA from 1 species